UACGUAGGGGGCAAGCGUUAUCCGGAUUUACUGGGUGUAAAGGGGGCGUAGACGGCUGCGCAAGUCUGAAGUGAAAGGCAUGGGCUCAACCUGUGGACUGCUUUGGAAACUGUGCAGCUAGAGUGUCGGAGAGGUAAGUGGAAUUCCUAGUGUAGCGGUGAAAUGCGUAGAUAUUAGGAGGAACACCAGUGGCGAAGGCGGCUUACUGGACGAUGACUGACGUUGAGGCUCGAAAGCGUGGGGAGCAAACAGG
rnacentral:rRNA from 1 species